rnacentral:rRNA from 1 species
GCUUGUCUCAAAGAUUAAGCCAUGCAUGUCUAAGUACAAGCCUCAGUAAGGUGAAACCGCGAAUGGCUCAUUAAAUCACACCUAAUCUACUGGAAAGUUACUAGUUACUUGGAUAACUGAGGUAAUUCUUGAGCUAAUACAUGCGAAAAAUCUCGACUCACGGAGAGAUGCUUUUAUUAGAUCAAAACCAAACGGCUUCGGCCGUCUCAUUGGUGACUCUGAAUAACUUUGCGAAUCGCAUGGCCUUGUGCCGGCGAUGAAUCAUUCAAAUUUCUGCCCUAUCAACUGUCGACUGUGAUAUAGACGCUCACAGUGGUUUUGACGGGUAACGGGGAAUCAGGGUUCGAUUCCGGAGAGGGAGCCUUAAAAACGGCUACCACAUCCAAGGAAGGCAGCAGG